rnacentral:tRNA from 1 species
GGGGAUGUAGCGCAGCUUGGUAGCGCGUUUGUUUUGGGUACAAGAUGUCGCAGGUUCGAAUCCUGUCAUCCCCA